rnacentral:rRNA from 1 species
UACGUAGGGGGCAAGCGUUGUCCGGAAUCAUUGGGCGUAAAGCGCGUGUAGGCGGCCCGGUAAGUCCGCUGUGAAAGUCCAGGGCUCAACCCUGGGAUGCCGGUGGAUACUGUCGGGCUCGAGUCCGGAAGAGGCGAGUGGAAUUCCUGGUGUAGCGGUGAAAUGCGCAGAUAUCAGGAGGAACACCGAUGGCGAAGGCAGCUCGCUGGGACGUGACUGACGCUGAGGAGCGAAAGCGUGGGGAGCGAACAGG